rnacentral:lncRNA from 1 species
AUGCUGCCCCGGAGUUGGUAUGAAUCUAUAGUCAAAACUGUUAAAAUAUUUUUUUUCCAUUAAAAUGGAGAACUGGGUUGUAGAUUUUUAUGAGUAGCUUGGAACUUGUUUCAUGUAAUGCCAUUACACACAAAUAAUUAUGUGUUUUUUGUUUUGAGAGUUCUGUUAAAGUGUUUUGACAAAAGAGAAAAAAUAACUUAUAAAGCUAAAAAAAAAUUAAUUUUUAAAAGUUUAUUUUAAUUUUUUUAAACUUUUACUUUUUAAGUAAACGAUUUUAACAUAAGCUUAGCGGUAUGAAACACAAUUGAUUGACUAUAGAACAAGCAUACACACUUGUUACAUGCUCUAUUUCAAGCCAUCACAGACAAAGAUGGCAAUUUAUUCACAGUACAAAAACAAAAACAAAAACCAAAAAAAAGCUACACACGAAGAGAAAAAAACAAACUGAUCGCGUGCCCACAACAUAACUCUCUCUCUCUCCUCAUGGAUUGGAAGAGAAGUUGAAGUUUAAAUAAUUAUUACGGCGCAUCUGCAGCGAAGUGUAGACCGGCCCAAAUCAAACUGGACCAGAUUAUCCUCCAACUGAUUGUCCCCAAUCAAAAUCUCAGCCUUUGGGCUCAGCCCUCCAUCGGCAAACGCCAAACACUCCCCCCGGACUGGGGCUGGACCAACGAGUUGGCCCCAUAGAUACUCCACACAACGUUUCGGUGACCCAAAACGAAGUAGAUGGUGGGAACACUAGGCUCCAUUCACGUGCUUGGCAACUUUGUCGAGACAAAACAAACGUCAAAAAUGUAAGACUGUGGGUUUCACUCACUUGAGGGACUCCAGAGAGGUGGCCCGUCAAGAACAGAUUGAGAGUGGUAAAAAUGGAGUGCUCCAAGACAGUGUAGGGGUGGUUGCUAAUCGUUGUUCUGAUAAGGCCUUGUUUGGCUGAUGAUGUUUUAAUUGGGAUAGGCUUUCCAUUUAUUUUUAUUGAACUCACUUGUAUAAACUACUCACCCUGUGGGCUAACUAUGAGCGGGGUAUAAGCAGUUUGAGCAGAUAUAUCAAUGCCUGAAAUGAUAUGAUACGGCCCAUUUCGGAAGAAAACGACACCGUUUGAAUUAGGGGAUGCAGUGAGAUACAAGACGAAUUGUGGGCUGAAGUGAGUUGGUCCGGGAGCGAAAAAUAUGCCAUAAAUUACUCAUAAAACAAGGUAUAAAAUUUUCGCCUAAUUUGAUUGGAUGAAAUAUUUAUUUUCCUCUGUCAAGCGCUAUGUGUUAAUUUUCUUAAUAAGCAUUAUCUAUUGUGUAUGGCAAUGGAGAUUGAAAUAGUAAAUAUUUACAAACAAAAUGUUCAUUAUAACAAACAAUAAAAUAACUUGUUUUUAUGGCUGUGACGAAUAUGGAAAAUAAUAAAACUUUUUGCAGACAAAACAUUCCCGAUUCCAAAAGCCUUAAAUAAUAAAAUUUGUCUACGGUGACAGUGGCGACAACGUUAGUGAUAGAAAAUAUUAAAAUUUCACUAUUAAAACAUGUAACAAUAAAAUUUAUCAAUUGCAUGUGGUGGCAGUGGCUCCGGCUGUUGCCAUGGCAGCAACAACAUUGAUGAAUUUGUGACUUUUAUUUGAAUAGCCAUAGAAGGCAAGGGAAAAUUAUCUUAAAAAUAAUUUUACAUUAAAUUAGGAAACCUUUCAACUCAUAAAACAAAAUUUCUACUUUAGACUGCUUUUCUUGCAUCUCAGCCAGGUAUGUUUUAUUGUUUGUAUUGUUAUAGUAAUUAUAUUUGUGCACCGCAUAUGCGUAUCAUUUGACGUGUCAGUUUACACUGUUCAUUUACAUAUGUUGUGUAGAGUUUAUCAAGUGAUCUAAUUGCUCCAUAUAUACUGCCACAUUACAUAAUACUUAAAUGUGGUAUACAAAAGUAAUCAUCAUGGCUAACAACCUACAAGUCAUAAACAAUUUUUUAUGGUAUUUUCAGAAGUUAAUAAUAGUUUUUUUGGGUGAAAAAUCUACUUUACCCCUUGUAGUUUUGACUCGAGCACUUCACCUCCCUCACAUUCAAUAAUAGCCAAGCCAAUUUACCACCACCUUGUUUUGGAGUAAAGUGCAACGUGAACUCUGUUAACUGAAUUGGGGAAAUGACUGUCAUACCCUUUUUUUAUCUUCUUCUCCUAUUUUGUUUUCCUCCUCCUCCUCCUCCUCUUCUUUAUGUGUGUGUGUGUAUAGAUUGGCCAAACAAUUUUUGUUAAGAAGCAAAUUUCAAUAAACCGCUUAUUAUUAAUUAAGCCACAUAUAAUCAAGAUAUUAGACCAAGUUCCCCUAUUCUGCAAGUAAUGUCUGCUUUUAACUUAAGUUUUAAUUAACCAUUCAUUGGAUAUACAUACAAAUGUUUACAUAUGUACAGAUUUAGAAUUCAUGUUAACACAGAUUUCUGUUAAUAAUUGUUUAAAUAGGUUUGGGGAUACAAUAUUCAAGCCCACAAAAUUUUUGUGAUGAAGAAUAGGGGAAGGAUUGGCCCACCACCUGUCACCACCAAUAAUGUUGUCAUUCAUUUUACAGAUUGACAAGAGGACCACAAAAAGCUUUUGGUGGAGCAAUAAUUGAGCAAUUUAUUCUGGUGUUUUGCUACUUUAGACCACAGUGUUGCAUCUCAACCAGGUAUGUUCUUCUGGUAAUGCUCAUUUGAUAUGACAUCUUACAUGAUCUAUUUAAAUGUGUUGCCAGGAUUUAUCAAAUGGUGCAAUUUGUGCACAUAUAUCUAUCACGACAUCACAUGGUACUCAAAUUUAGUCUUUAUAAAAAGUACUUUCUCCAUAUGAACUCCUAAUAGCAGCCAAUCCUUGUCAUGAACAAUUGUUUUUUAUGAUAUUUUUAUAAGGUGAUUUUAAUUAUAAGAUUUUUCAUGUUCUUAUAAAGAUAGGAAAAGAAAAAGAAAAGAAAAAGGUUGUUGGAAAUUUGGAAUUUGUAGACUGAGAAAGUCACUUGCCUCGUGCUAGAAUCUUGUACAUUUUUCUAUUUCUCACGCUACAGCAAAGUAAUCAUCUGAAAAAGUUGUUGGAAUACAAUAUAGAUUCAGAAAGUCAUUUGUAAAUUUUAAUACUGAAAAGAAAAGGGGAAUUAUUAAGCAAAGUAUGAUUGGUGGUCUUUUGCUUGUUGCAUCUAGAUAUUUUUAUGAUGUGGUUCAUUUAGGUGUUUAAAUUCUCUAUUGAACACCAGUGUAAGAAAGCUACAAGCACAAAAUUAGGCCACAAAAGCGGAUGUGGCCACUGGCCAAACACGUCCUCAACUUGGCUCACUCAAGUUACUAAAUAUCGGUCGAUAUGUAUCUGGAUUUUGACAUUCUAAUAUGAAUAUUUUAGUAAAUGUCAACUCAGACUGUCUAAUAUUUUUAUGAUGUGGUUCAUUUAGGUGUUUAAAUUUUCUAUUGAACACCAGUGUAAGAAAGCUACAAGCACAAAAUUAGGCCACAAAAGCGGAUGUGGCCACUGGCCAAACACGUCUUCAACUUGGCUCACUCAAGUUACUAAAUAUCGGUCGAUAUGUAUUUGAAUUUUGACAUUCUAAUAUGAAUAUUUUAGUAAAUGUCAACUCAGACUGUCUAAUAUAGGCCGAUACAUAACCAUAUCACCGAUACAGUUACUGAUAUCAGCCGAUAUGUAUCUGGAUUUUGGUAUUACGAUACGGAUAUUUUAGUAAAUGUCAACCCAGACAGUCUAAUAUAGGCCAAUACAGGACUAUAUCACCGAUACAGUUACUGAUACUGCGAUUUAGGUUUCCCACUGAACCAAUGCUAUAAUUGAAAAAAAGAAGAAAAAAAAGAAACGUAAAAGAAUACUGGCAAUGUUAUUAUGUCUAGAAGUUCACUCAAAGAGAGAGAACACAAGAAAUUCCCAUCUCCAUAGCAGAACCUAUUUCUUCGAUGGCAUUUAUACACUACGUUUUAUAGCAAUAUUUUUUGAGUUGACAACUCUUUAGAGAUUCUAAAAAAUAAAAAUGCCAUUGAACUUUGUUUUUAGACCUCUCCUCGAUCCCAUAAGAAAGAAAUGCUAAAUAACGAACUAAAAAUAAAACAACUACGUGUUCCAAAUCAGUCAAAUCACUACGCAUCUGAAUUACCCAUAGUCAAUUUCUAGGUUUUUCAUUUCAGCUGCAUAACCAAUGGAUGAAUGGGUGAUCUAAGAGAUGUCAGUGGCUAUGGUUUUCAUUUCUAGGGUUUAUUGGCUUGAAUUUGCUUUUUAUUAACAAGUUUGUUAGAUUUAUUUUGAUUAUCAUGGUUCUUAUUUUAUUUUUUUCAGGUGUGUUUUAUAACUGAGUUAUGUAUAUUUUGCUCAAUGGGUAAUGCAGGUAAAAUGAGGUUAGCCCAUCUGAAAUGAAGAAAUGAACAACAUUAAGAGCAUACGGAACAUGUUGAAUUUGUAGGGUCCAUGGGUCCGUUAGCCUGGGGCUAUAUAUCCAUUUUCUCUGUUACUCAUUUUGCAGGUGGAGUUCAACAUUUUCAUAAAUAAUUAAGGCCCCGUUUGACCCAAAAUUUUUCUUGAAUUCUUUAGUUAAUUUGAUUUUUGAGGUUUGGUUAUCUCUAGUAAAUUUUUUUAAUCGUUUGAUCGAAUUUUUAUAUUUUUUUGGUUCUUUUUAAUGAGAAGAGUCUGAAAAUAUAAAAAUAUUCAUCUAAUUUGGAAAGAUGUUCACUAAAGAAAAAAAAAUAACACUUUUUACUCAACAAAUUAGUUAAAUUUUUAUUUCUUAAUGCAUUUUCGGUUCCAAAUUUGAACAAUCUUUUUUCAUUUUGAGAUUUUCUCAUCAACAAGAAAAGAAAAAGCAUAAUUUUUUUAUUAAACAGAGAAAAAAGUCACAAAAAGAUGGAAAAACUUCAAAAUCAAAGCACCUAAAAAAUCUCAAUUUUUUUUUAUGCCAAACUGGGCCUUACUAUUGGUAUUUAUCCUGUUGUACAUAUCACUUUAAAUGUGCAUUUUUACUCUAUGGAUAUAUUUGUUUAGAAAAUAUCAACCACAUCCUGAU